CGAAGCGCUUCUCUUUGGAGCG
rnacentral:miRNA from 1 species